AGCAGAGGGCUAAAGGCAUCAACCAUAGGGAUCAACUUCUUUCAGAAGAGCAAGCAAGACCAAAAAGACCCGCUAGAUUCGUUACCAAACAUUUCCCCUUACACUACCUCUUAAAUCUCGGGACGAGAUUUCUUGUAGUGGAGGAGAAUUGUGACGUCCAGAUAAUUAAGCUACAGUAACCAUCUACUGAUGAGGCCAUGUCACCAGGAUUACUAUUGUCGGUCUCGCGAUGGUUCAAAACGAAUCAAAUUCAAAUUUAAAAUAAAGUCAAACGGUAAAAGUUUUCAAACCUUAAAACUAAAAUGUUUGCAUUGUUCAAUAAUUCCCCUGAUCAUUUGUCAUGUUGAACCCAACCUUAUUUGACCCACCAAUUAACCCCUUUGAAUUUAUAAAGUGGUCCAACGACAAAUAAAAUAGCCUUUUCAAAAUAAGCAAAUAUUUAUACAAUUCCAAUUGACCUCAAACUUUGGAUGUCAUCCCAAAAUAUUGUGAAGUAUUUAAGUGACAAGUUUCAUGAUGAAUAAAAUUCAAUUGGUAUUUUAAGGAAGUGCAGAACUGUGGUAAAUAAAAGAAAUCAGAGAAUAAAUAGAAAUAGAAAAAUAAACAAAUGGGGGAUACCUAACUACUGUACACCUAAAGCCCAAAGGGCCAGUAGCUAACCCAGCCCACCUCUAGUCUCCUUCAACCUUCUGUUCAUCCCCAUCGCGCUGGAGGCAGAGCGCUUGUUCAAGUCGUCAAUGCACACGCGUCGUCCAUCCCGUGGUUCGCCCCCCUUGGUUAAGACGUCGCCAGCGCACCCUCCCGAAACGCUAGCUCUAUUCUUCCCCUCGUCCAUUCCUCUCCUGAUUCACUGCGUCCAAGGUGCUGCCGUUGUCGCUGCCUCAUCGUCUCCGCGGCCGCUGUCGUCCCCUCCGGCCGAGCUUGCACCAGGAGCUCCACCAGCCUCCCCUACUUCCCCUACGUGGAUCAACUCGAGCUCGGAGCACCCACCUCGACCAAAUCGACCGCCUUCUUCAACUUUUGCCGCCGGUCGUCGCCGUCGAGUUCUCCACCACCGAACCGCCCCGGCCUCCCCGAACACGCCCACGAGCUUCGCGAUGAUGGAUUCCAGGAGCCAGAGGAUCCCGAGGAUGUUUCUACGUGGAGUUUGGCUUAGAGGAGUAGUUAGGAGGUCCCAGGCAGGAGGCCUUGCCUUUCCGAUCGUUGCUAAUUUGUGCUAGCCUUCUUAAGGCAAUCUUGUUUAACUUAUGUCUGUACUCAGAUAUUAUUGCUUCCGUUGACUCUUGUGUCUUCAAGCAUUUGUAUUCGAGCCUUCGAGGCCCCUGGAUUGUAAUAUAAAGGUUGUAUUAUUUUAUUUGUGUC